UUUUGUUCCGUGAUAAAUGUAAGACAGAUAUAGAGUCAUUGGUACGAUGACACGAUAGUACAGUGUUUUUUUUUUUAUUGAAGGUGAAGUUAUGUAACGGAAACGAGGAAAAUUUUCAAAAGCUGAAGAAAAUUUACUAUUUUUACUGAUAUGUAUACACAGACGGACAGAUAGACAUGCACACACAUGCAUGGAAAGUCGGUGUUAUCGGUUAAGUUCACAGAGUUUUGUUUUCUAUGUUUCUACAGCGAUUUCUAAUUGUAAUGAGGCAGCCAUGAGUUACCUGACUACCGCAUGGAGAAUUUUUUUAAAAAUGACUCGUCUCUCCCCACUACCACUGGCUUAUUUUUCAAUAUUUUUUUAUGAAAAUUUCACAGAAUUUUCUUGGAAUGAUGCUUAAUAAGACCCUUUUCCCUCUUAAUCUAAUGGAGCCAACUGGUGACCAAUUACUUCAAAUUUUUGAACGGGGGUCGCUUCCUACCCUUUUGGGAUACAUCAGCGUCCCUAUCUACCCCCACCCUUAUCGAAGACCAUAAUCAAGUGACACCAUAGUGGAUCUCAAGCGGAGAAAUCAAAGAACCCCAUUGACAUGUGAUGUCUAACCACAACCAUGUCCGACCUUUGUGGGCCCAAUGACCUAAACUUGUCUCAUCUCAGGAAAUGAAGGGACUCUGGACAAAGUGAACUUAGGAAGACCCAUCAGGGUGGCCACAAAGAAAUGAUUUCAAAAUUCCCUGAUAUUUUCCGGUUUUCCAGUAAAGUUUUUCACAUUUUUCCCUGAUUUAGAAAUUUUAUUCGUAUCAUUUAGAUAUUCAAAGUUUUUAUUAUAUUUUCAUUUUUAAUAAUUAAAUUUGAUAAUUAAAUCAUGCGAGAAACCAGAAAAAAUGGCAAUAAAAUAAAUUAAUGUUGCCUACUUUUGAUUAUUCGAUGUUAAAAAUGUAUAAGUUUAAAUAUUUAAUAAGAAAGUUUAUGAUUUAAAUAAAUUAAAAAUACACUGGUUACAAAAAUUAAGGGAUAUUAAAAAAAUUUCAAAUUUUUUAUUAAUUUUCAACAGUUUGUAACUCGAAGGAAAAUGGUCGUACAAUAAAAACAAAAAGUCAAACUGUAGCUUCAAGUGUCUAGUUUUCUGAGCUGGGUCUUUAAAUUUUUUUAUUAUGCACGGUUCCGGAGCAAUCAAAAAUCAAUCAUAAUUAUCGAAAAAAAUUUAUUGAAGCUCGAAGACCGUUUUUAAGACGACCAAAAAUUUGGUAAAUUUCUUUUUCGAUAGUUUUCUUAGAAUUACUCCGGAACUGCACAUAAUAGAAAAUUUAAAGACCAGAUCAGAAAACUAGACACUUGAAGCUACAAUUUGCCUUUUUUGUUUUUGUCGUAUGACCAUUUUCCUUCGAGUUACAACCUGUUGAAAAUCACUUUAAAAUUUGAAAUUUUUUUGACAUCCCUUAAUUUUUAUAACUAGUGUAUAAUUUAAAAUUUUUUAAAUUUUAAACUGUUACAAUUUAAUUCCCAGAUACUUUUCGAAAUUCCCCGACAUUUCCCGGUUGCAUUAAAUUCCCUGAUAAUUCCCGGUUUUCCCGGUUCGUGGCCACCCUGCCCAUGGCGCCAACCCUGUACUGGUCAAUAGACCACUAGGGUCAUCUCGAUUAAUAUCACUUUCAAGUUGUGAACUAGACAUCCCUUCGUCCCUUUCGUGACUGAUAAACUCUUUUCCGAGCUUUCGGGCACUAAGUUUUUGAGCCAAAGCAAAAAUGGCGCCCACUGUCUGCUAUGAUUGUCUACUUGAUUUAAUCACAACAUCAACACAAUAAAUAAAACUAAUGUUGUUUAUUCUUUAUAAUAAUAUGAAGUAUCAGAGCUUGGACGUGAAUACAUUUUUUUCUGAGCUGUAUAGCAUUAAGUGUCACAUUUAACCGCAUGACAUAUAUAUACAUAUAUAUAUAUUGCAAAAUGUAUACGCAAUAGAUAAAAACUGACGACUUAACUUUUUGCGUGACUUAUAAUUCUUUUUUUUUUCAUCAUCUCUUAUAUCUUCUUCUUCUUCUUCUUCUGUUGCUUCUCAACUUGUGUAUUCGUGCCACAGGCGGUAUAAACUAUAAAGGAUUCUAAAUUGGUAACCGCUACGAAAAUAGACUUCCGGUUCCCGUCUCGGACGGCGUCUGCUUAAAGCGGUUUAUGUCAAACUCACUAACCCGCCCUCAGUGACUACGAAAUUUUUCUCUUCGUAUCUUAUUUUUUUACUCAUUUUGUUUAUUUAUUUAUUUUACUUUUUUAACAUACUAGCGAUUUUUUACACACAUCGUGCGUGUGCUGUUAUAAUAAUCAAAUACAAUAAUUUUAUUCAUUUAGAUAUAAAAUUCUUAAACUCUUACACUACGAGAUAAGUCAAAAAGAAUUGAAAUAUAGUAGACUAAGAUUUUGAAAAUUGUUCCCGGGUCAAAAAUUUGAUCUCAUUGUAGCCAAGCUCUUUGUAUUUGAACUAAUUAGUCUCUCUUUAAAUUUUUUAUUAAAAUUUUAAGCUGUUUUUGAUCUAAAAACAGACUAAUAGAAAUAAUAGGCAGUAAAAAUUUGAUUUUGGUCUAGAGGUGACCAAAACCAGACUAAAAAUUUUGAACACAAGUCGGAAAAUAGUCAAAAUGAGGAAUAGUGUCGGCAAAAUUUGAUUAAAUUUCACAUGU